GUGGUAUCUUACAGCAACAGCUAUUUUUCAUCAUAUAUAAAUAUUUCAUUUGGAAGGGACCUACAACCAUCAUCUAGCCCAACUAUUCUCAGUAGAGAACUCCUUCCUUGCCAGCCAUGUUCCUCAUGGGGCACCAGCCCAGGGACUCCCCAAAUUCCUUCUCUUCCUCCCUCCCUUACAUUCCCUGUGUGGAGCUGGGAAACCCUCAGUGGUUUCCCUGACCCCCCUCUUGUCCCAGGACACACCGUCUGGGAAGUCGGGGUGGCAGAGCUGCAGAUCCUUGCAGGUACGUGCUGGGUUGUGUUGAGUGCCCAAUGGAUGCUUCAUUUGCUCAAUUUCCAGUUUCAAGGAAUUCAGCGACCCGAAAAUUUCCUCCAUGCCAUCUGCAUAGUCCAUGUAGUUGUCGGCGUUGCCAUCGUCCACCAGUUGGCUGGCAUCAAUAUUUCGCCUGGUCCUCUUGGAAGCCUGGAUGGGCAGCGGCUGGAUGACUUCUCCAGGAGGACCAGGAGGCCCUGGUGGUCCCUGGGAUGCAAAACAAGGCAGAAAACACAGUUAAAGAACUUAUAAUGCUUUACU
rnacentral:lncRNA from 1 species